GCCAGACUCCUACGGGAGGCAGCAGUGGGGAAUAUUGGGCAAUGGGCGCAAGCCUGACCCAGCAACGCCGCGUGAAGGAAGAAGGCUUUCGGGUUGUAAACUUCUUUUCUCAGGGACGAAGAAAGUGACGGUACCUGAGGAAUAAGCCACGGCUAACUACGUGCCAGCAGCCGCGGUAAUACGUAGGUGGCAAGCGUUAUCCGGAUUUAUUGGGUGUAAAGGGCGUGUAGGCGGGAAAUUAAGUUAGUUGUGAAAUCCCUCGGCUUAACUGAGGAACUGCAACUAAAACUGAUUUUCUUGAGUACUGGAGAGGAAAGUGGAAUUCCUAGUGUAGCGGUGAAAUGCGUAGAUAUUAGGAGGAACACCAGUGGCGAAGGCGACUUUCUGGACAGUAACUGACGUUGAGGCACGAAAGUGUGGGGAGCAAACAGGAUUAGAUACCCGAGUAGC
rnacentral:rRNA from 1 species